CCUACGGGAGGCAGCAGUGAGGAAUAUUGGUCAAUGGCCGUAAGGCUGAACCAGCCAAGUAGCGUGAGGGAAGACUGCCCUAUGGGUUGUAAACCUCUUUUAUGAGGGGAUAAAGGUGUCCACGUGUGGCUGUUUGCAGGUACCGCAUGAAUAAGGACCGGCUAAUUCCGUGCCAGCAGCCGCGGUAAUACGGAAGGUCCGGGCGUUAUCCGGAUUUAUUGGGUUUAAAGGGAGCGUAGGCCGGGCGUUAAGCGUGCCGUGAAAUUUUGUGGUCCAACCAUGAGAGUGCGGCGAGAACUGGAGACCUUGAGUGCGCGGAAGGUAGGCGGAAUUCGUGGUGUAGCGGUGAAAUGCUUAGAUAUCACGAAGAACCCCGAUUGCGAAGGCAGCCUGCCGCAGCGUUACUGACGCUGAAGCUCGAAAGCGUGGGUAUCGAACAGGAUUAGAUACCCUGGUAGUC
rnacentral:rRNA from 1 species